rnacentral:rRNA from 1 species
GACGUAGGGCGCGAGCGUUGUCCGGAAUCACUGGGCGUAAAGGGCGCGUAGGCGGCCUGAUAAGUAGGGGGUGAAAUCCUGCGGCUUAACCGCAGGGCUGCCUUCUAAACUGUCAGGCUAGAGCACAGUAGAGGCAGGUGGAAUUCCCGGUGUAGCGGUGGAAUGCGUAGAGAUCGGGAAGAACAUCAGUGGCGAAGGCGGCCUGCUGGGCUGUUGCUGACGCUGAGGCGCGACAGCGUGGGGAGCAAACAGG